rnacentral:lncRNA from 1 species
AGCUCCCUUUGUGGGCUAGGUUCUUGAUUUGUGUUUAAUUUGGGAGUUAUGGAAUAAUUAGCUAAUCAAUUAGUCAAUUAAUAGAAUAUUUUCCUAAUUGAUUAGCUAAUAAAAGGGGAAAAUGAGGUAUAAAUUACAAGGCAUGGUUGGGCCCUUGAGAGAGAAGGUGAUCGGCCUUAUGUGUGUUUUUUGGGAGUAAUUGGUGGUUUAAUUGGCUAUUAAUAGAUUAAUUAGGUAAUAAAUCUAUUAAUUAGCCAAUUAACAUAAUUUAAAAAUAAAUGUUUUGGGAGUUACCUUGUAGAAAGGAUUUGAUGAGGAUGGAUGAAAUAGGCUUUGAAUUGUUAACUAUUUUGGGCACUUUUGACUUGGUUGAAAAAUGUUGCCCGCUGCUCGUGCGUAGGAACUCCGAUGUGCCGUAAGGGUAUUCUUGUCCUUUUUUAUCCAAAGAUCCACGUGUCGCCUUGUGAUUAUUUUUGGCUCCACAAAUGCUCCCACAGCUGUUGGCCUGCUUGCAAAAAAGGGCAACAUGUGUAAAGAUUUGCCUGCUUUAGGAAACUUUGGACUGCUUCCUAUUUUGAUGUAGAUUCCCUCUUUAAUAGGAAAUUAGAUCUUUCUAGGAAAGGGAAAUAAAUUUCUCUCAAAGCCUAUUUAAGUCCACCUUAAGUGAGUUAUUAAAUCAACUUUGGAGAGCGAUUUAUUCUACCGUACAAGAGAGAGAGCUUAGAGGAUAUUUGUUCCCCCUCCUCUAGCAAUCUUCUACAUCUUGCCCAUGCAAAGGACUGUCCUUCGUUGCUUUCUUCAUCUUUUCUGUGCCGCACCGAUGUAAGAAAAAUUAAUUUUUUCUUGUCUUCUUCUUGGAUAGUGUUGUCGUGGGGUAGCCGUCGGGGUGGUGCGGCACGUUGGCUGGUAGAGGCCAAGAGUCGUCCUAUCAUGGGCCAAUAAGGUGUUGUGGCAGGGACCACUACUUGGGCUACUUGGCUUGGUUAGAGCCAAAGGCAGCUUGCACAGCUGAGGCCACAAAUUGAGGCGCUGGGGUGCAGUGCUAGGCGAGUUGCAUGGUUCAGGUCCUUUGGGCUUUUCGUCCUAACGCGGGCUAGGCCAGCGAUUGAGAGAAAUGAAAAAGUCGUGGGCCUCUUGGGCUGCUAGAAUACUGGGCAUGCUGGCCUUCUGCCUGCUG